rnacentral:tRNA from 1 species
GGAAGAUUAGCUCAGAUGGCAGAGCAGCGGACUUUUAAUCCGUAGGCCAUGGGUUCAAAUCCCAUAUCUUUCA